UGUACGAUUACAUUCGCUACGAUCUCAAACAAAUAGCAUUUCCUUCAUCGCUGCCUGACCCUCCUCAUCUCAAAAAGCGUCGCAAAUUGACUUGGCACGAACGCUUCCUAGUGUUGAAGGAGGCGUCAAGACUUUAUGCUGCAAGCUGGAUACGGGAUAUUGGUCCUGAUCUUCGGCCAAACGACUAUAAGAAGGAGGAAGGAAGUGAAGACAAGCCCAAUGGAAGAAAGAGCACUUCAACACAAGAGAAAGAGCCCUCGGUAUUUGAAGAUCUUGCGGUGGCUGCAAGAGGAGGUUUGGAGACAUUAAGGCCUGCUUUGCAGCGGGUGUACAUGACAAGAGCUUCAGCAUAUAGAGAUGCACUCAAAAGUUUUAUAGAAGGAUAUCAAGAAGGUGUCCAGCAGGUCAGGGAGAAGAAAGAAGAAUCUAAAACUCAACAAGAGGAAGAUACACCCGAGAAGUAGACUACUGAUUACUGUAACUGAGGCAAUGCAAGUUUUUUUAUUGCACAUGCAAGUAAUAGUCCUUUUUAAU
rnacentral:misc_RNA from 1 species